CAUUCAGGUACGAUUUUAUGAAGAGAAUGAAAACGGACCAAUAUGGGAAGCUUUUGGAAACUUUGGACCCUCAGAUGUUCAUAGACAGUAUGCCAUUGUGUUCAGGACACCCAAGUACUAUGAUUUGCACAUAACCAAACCGGUUACAGUGUUUGUGCAAUUAAGAAGAAGGUCAGAUGGAGAAACAAGUGAAUCCAAACCAUUCAUUUACUAUGCUCAGAAACGAGAUCCAGGGCGAAUUCAAAGAAAAAGGAGAAAAGGCUUCUCAAAAGGAUCUGAAGGUGCAGGAAGAAAAACAGGUAGUAGACGAGAGCAGAAAACAAAUGGCCCUG